UACGUAGGUGUCGAGCGUUGUCCGGAUUUAUUGGGCGUAAAGAGCCCGCAGGCGGCUUGGCAAGUUUGAGGUGAAAUCUCCCGGCUUAACUGGGAGGGGGCCUCGAAAACUGCCAGGCUUGAGGCAUGGAGAGGGAUGCGGAAUUCCCGGUGUAGUGGUGAAAUGCGUAGAUAUCGGGAGGAACACCAGUGGCGAAGGCGGCACCCUGGCCAUGUCCUGACGCUCAGGGGCGAAAGCGUGGGGAGCAAACCGG
rnacentral:rRNA from 1 species